rnacentral:tRNA from 1 species
GGUUGUGGCUCAGUGUCUAGUAGAGCGCUUGCCUAUUAUGCAUGAGGCACUGGGUUCGAUCCCCAGCACCA